rfam:Oscillibacter sp. 1-3 genomic scaffold acPPL-supercont1.6, whole genome shotgun sequence.
GGGGGUGUACCGGUUUCGACGGGGGUAUGGAGGCGGGAUCAGCGGGCGGCGGCGCCUGACCGCCAUAAAACGGGCAAUUUAUAAAUCAAAUAACAACAACACUGUUGCUGUUGCUGCCUAAUUAAAGGCGGCCGUCCGACCCGGAAGGACCGCGAGCCGGGAAGGGCGUCGUUUAGCGGUAAAUGUGCGUACGGUAAGCUUUGCCCGUGCCACACAUCAUGAAGCUCACCUGACCUGACGGCGUGACGGUUUGCCGUCUGGAAGGGGAACAGGAAGGAAGACUUCCGCAAUAAUCGUCUGCGCCCGGAGAACAUCCCGUUAAAGUGCUUUCGGACGGGGGUUCAACUCCCCCCACCUCCACCA